GAUGAACGCUAGCGGCAGGCCUAAUACAUGCAAGCCGAACGGCAAGUUUGAUAGCAUUAUUGGACCUAGAGUGGCGCACGGGUGCGUAACACGUAUGCAACCUGCCCGCGACAGGAGGAUAGCUCCUCGAAAGGGGAAUUAACCCUCCAUAACACCAUGAGAAGGCAUCUGAUUAUGGUUAAACCGCAAGGGGUCGCGGAUGGGCAUGCGGUUGAUUAGCUAGUUGGCGGGGUAAAGGCCCGCCAAGGCGGUGAUCAAUAGGGUGUCUGAGAGGAAGGUCCCCGACACUGGGACUGGGACACGGGCCAGACUGGUGCGGGAAGCAGCAGAAGGGAAUCAAGGGCAGUGAUUGCAAGGCUGAUCCAGCGAGGCCGCGUGGAGGAAGAAGGGCUUCUGGAUCGUAAACUGCGUUGUCCUGUGGAUAAAAUACCCGUGCGCGGGGAAUUGACGGUAACAGGAGAAUAAGCAACGGCUAACUACGUG
rnacentral:rRNA from 1 species